AUACGGAGGGUGCGAGCGUUAAUCGGAAUUACUGGGCGUAAAGGGCUCGUAGGCGGUUUGUUAAGCAAGAUGUGAAAGCCCAGGGCUCAACCUUGGAAUUGCAUUUUGAACUGGCAAGCUAGAGUUUUGAAGAGGGUGGUAGAAUUUCCAGUGUAGCGGUGAAAUGCGUAGAUAUUGGAAGGAAUACCAGUGGCGAAGGCGGCCACCUGGUCAAAAACUGACGCUGAGGAGCGAAAGCGUGGGGAGCAAACAGGAUUAGAUACCCUGGUAGUCCACGCCGUAAACGAUGUCAACUAGUUGUUCGUGUCUUUAAGACGUGAGUAACGCAGCUAACGCACUAAGUUGACCGCCUGGGGAGUACGGCCGCAAGGUUAAA
rnacentral:rRNA from 1 species